GUGGGGAAUAUUCCGCAAUGGGGGAAACCCUGACGGAGCAACGCCGCGUGAGCGAAGAAGGCCUUUGGGUUGUAAAGCUCUGUCUUCAGGGAAGAAACCUUAAGAGAGGAUAAUGCUCUUAAGCUGACGGUACCUGAGGAGGAAGCCCCGGCUAACUACGUGCCAGCAGCCGCGGUAAUACGUAGGGGGCGAGCGUUGUCCGGAAUUAUUGGGCGUAAAGCGCGCGUAGGCGGUCAUUUAAGUCAGGCGUGAAAAACCUAGGCUCAACCAAGGUAUUGCGUUUGAAACUGGAUGACUUGAGGGCAGGAGAGGAUAGCGGAAUUCCUAGUGUAGCGGUGAAAUGCGUAGAGAUUAGGAGGAACACCAGUGGCGAAGGCGGCUAUCUGGCCUGUACCUGACGCUGAGGUGCGAAAGCUGGGGGAGCGAACGGGAUUAGAAACCCUAGUAGUCC
rnacentral:rRNA from 1 species